rnacentral:pre_miRNA from 1 species
AGUGGAAUUGCUGGGUCAUAUGGUAACUCUAUUUCAACUUUUUGAGGAACUGCCAAAUUGCUUUCCAGAGUUGUGAACCAUUUUGUAGCACCACCAGCAAU